rnacentral:misc_RNA from 1 species
UCAGUUGUGAGUUUAACGAGUAAAAAAUAAUAAUCACUUCAAUUCAACGUGCACAUCUCAAUCGGUUCAGUGCAUAUCAUAUAUCUCGAUGGCUGGUUUUUUACAGAUCUCUGCGAUCGCCCUGGGCGCGCUGACGACAUUGACAGCGGCUAACCACCAUGGUGCCACCUCGUUCGCGUAUUACCAUCCGAUAUUCCAUCACACCCAGCACCACGGACACGACUAUUACGCACCGCCCAAGUACACGUUCAAGUACGGCGUCAAAGAUCCGCAUACGAAGGACGACAAGGACCAGUGGGAGGAGCGGGACGGCGACGUGGUGCACGGUGGCUACAGCGUGGUCCAGCCGGACGGCCGGAUCCGGAAGGUGACGUACACGGCGGACAAGCACAACGGUUUCAACGCGCACGUCCAUUACGAAAACCAUGCUCAUCACCCGCAUCACUACGGCAAACAUCAUCACCAUCACUACGGUGGUCGCGGACGUCGAGACGUCUGAACAGACUUCGCGUCGAUCGGCUCCUGUGCGUUAUUGAUCGGAGGGUUGGGUUAGGUUAGGAUAGGAAUAGUGACCUUUUAUAGUGAAACAAUAACGGUAGUAAUAAUGUUUUAUUCGCUCUUUAUUUUUUGGAUUUUAUUGUUUUUCUUUAAUUUUUUUCCGUCUUCAAACCGUCCGCGCGAGGACUUACAACGUAAACGACGUGCACUCGUAUGAUUCCGUUCGAUCGAAAAAUCAUUCAGAACUUGCACCUGCAGCCCGAUUACACCCGAGCUCUGGCGCAAGGACACCGUCUGGAAUUCGGUUCGCACAUGCACCUGGACACAGUUUUCCGCACCGGUCGGACGUCACGUGCGAAACCCGCACGAAGAGUGUCCGCAGUGUGUUUCGGAUCGACUUCACUGGCACUUCACUGGCUUUCUACUUACAGCACCAGGAUCACGUACACUCCGAUCGGAUGAGGAUCCCGUGCCCGGCUGGAUUAACAAUAAUAUCACCGGUGAAUACGAUGCACUCCUCGAUUGCAUUUGUUGUGAGCGUUGGGCAAUCGAAGAACCCGACAGUGUUACAACGGAGUUUAAUUGAUAUUGCGUCAUGUGUUUUGUUAAUAAUAUUCUCGAUUUGUAUACUUUAAACGUUUUAUUAAAUCAAAUAAUGUUAUCUUUUACGUCUUUAUACCAAUACUUUAUACAAUUCGAAAAUAUGUUUGAUACUUUGAUAAGUUUUAAUAAAAAAUAAUUCCUCUCGAA